rnacentral:rRNA from 1 species
GCCCACAACCUAGCCCAUUUCCAACCCCAAAAAACACCAAGCAAAAACAAACCAUUUGUCACGCCUAGUAUAGGAGAUAGAACAGCAUAAGCCCGCAAUAGCCAAUAGUACCGCAAGGGAUCAGUGAAAAACACUAUGACACACAAAGCAUAACACAGCAGGGCCAAACCCCCGUACCUCUUGCAUCAUGGUUUAGCCAGUCCACGCAGAUAAAGAGCCCUACAUCUGACCCCCCGAAUCCGAGCGAGCUACCUAAGGGCAACCAGCCAACUGGGUGCACCCUCCUCUGUAGCAAAAGAGCGGGACGACCCUUAGGUAGAAGUGAUAUGCCUACCGAGCCCGGAGAUAGCUGGUUGCUCAAUAAAUGAAUCCAAGUUCAACACUAAUUAGACUGAUAAGACACAAACCUUCACACGACCUUAAUUAGAAGAUAUGCCUCGAGGGAACAGCCCCAAGGCACCAGGAUACAACCAGAGUUAGAGGGCUAUUUUAACCACCACUAACCCAGUAGGCCCUAAAGCAGCCACCUAGUAAAAUAGCGUCAAAGCAACAGCCAACUAUAACCCUGAACCAAGCCCUCGCCCCCUAUCUACCAACUGAGCCACCCUACACCACACUAGGGGAGAAACUGCUAAAACUAGUAAUACUGUCUGAGACACCUCUAUCUGCAAACCCAUACAUCCCAGAUUGUUAACGGACUAAAACGCCACACCACGACCAGCCUUCACCAUUCCCCCGUUUCUCCAACACAGGAUUGCAAACCAGCCAGAUGAACAGCUACAAAAGGAACUCGGCUAAUAUCACUCCGCCUGUUUACCAAAAACAUCGCCUUUAGCCCCUAUAAGUAUUAAAGGUCCCGCCUGCCCAGUGAAUCCACUUUUAACGGCCGCGGUAUCCUAACCGUGCAAAGGUAGCAUAAUCACUUGCCCCUUAAAUAGGGGCUUGUAUGAACGGCUGACCGAGAGUGAAACUGUCUCCUGUAGCCCACCAAUGAAACUGAUCUCCUAGUACAAAAGCUAGGAUAUACUCACAAGACGAGAAGACCCUGUGGAACUUCAAGCAAUACCACUGACCGACACACUACAAAACCGACAGGCUACCAAAACCACACUAACAGUGCUAGCUUUAAGUUGGGGCAACUACAGAGACAAACUAAACCUCCACGUCCAAGGACUAGCCCGCCACAAACCAGGAGAACACUCCAAAUCCUAUUAGCCGACCCAGUACUACUGACCACCGAACCAAGCUACCCCAGGGAUAACAGCGCCAUCCCCUUUAAGAGUCCAUAUCGACAAGAGGGCUUACGACCUCGAUGUUGGAUCAGGGCCCCCAAGUGGCGCAGCAGCUACUAAAGGUCCGUUUGUUCAACGGCUAACGCCCUACGUGAUCUGAGUUCAGACCGGAGCAAUCCAGGUCGGUUUCUAUCUGUGGCCGGCCUUCUUUAGUACGAAAGGACCAAGAAGGCAGUGCCAAUGCCACAUGCAUGCACUAAAGACCAAAUUGAAACCAAAUAAAAUUCACCAACCAACCGCCGCCCCUAGACCAGGGGCAAAUAAACGUUGGG